UUCUCUUCCUCUUCUCCAUCCAACCCAGUCAAAUCAGCCGCACGUGCGCAGGCCGUGGUGGCUGACCAGGGCGGCACCCCCUAAUCGGCGAGGAACCCAGAGCACGCCGUGGCUGGCGCCUUGGAGCUCCUCUGCCGUCGGCCUGAUCUGUCUAUCCUCUCAAGUCACCGGCCCCGUGGGCCAGCAGCCUCGCCUCCGACCCGAUUCGGACCGCCCAGCCUUCGCCACCUGCGCCAUGCCACAGAGGUUCGGCCGAUCCCGCGAGCCGCCCAUUCUUGAUUCCUCCUCUGCUCGCGGCUAGCGUAGACUGCAAAAGGCCACAGGUCUCAUCCAACCGCACCCUCUCACUGCCUUGCUCCUCCAACUCUCCCUUCUUCCUCCCCUACCUACCAGUCAGGGCUCUCUCCCUCUCCCGCUUCCCUUCGCCGCAGCUUUGCAACAUAUUUUCCCUUCGCCGCAGGACUCCACGAGGAGUGCGCUGCUGCGGGUGUCUGGCCAAGAAGCCGCGCGCUGGGUGAUGUGGAGGACGACGACCUGCUGCUUCCUCAAUCUCAUCCUCCUUGCCAAGGAGAUGGGGAGCGGCAGCACGCCAAGGUUGUUUCCUACUUUGAGCGCUCGGUGUGGGUGGCGCGGCCGCCGGAUUUUAACUCUAUGGAGGGUCUGGGAUGGGGAGCAGGACAUGUUGGAGAUUGAGGAGCUUGCGAGUGGCGCCAGAGAAGAUUUGGAGAGGAUGGGGAGGGUAAGAAGAACAUGGCGGCAGAGGGCGACAGGACCAGCACAAGCCGGAGAGGACUCGCGGUGGUGGAAGCCCGAGAAGGAGCGGAGGGUUUUAUUUGUAGGGUUCUAUUUGUAAAAACGAAACGUUUUUCCAGAUUCACUAAAAUAGGGAUGGCGGGUUACCGCCAGUCGACGCCGCGC